rnacentral:rRNA from 1 species
UUAGGAAUUUUGCGCAAUGGGCGAAAGCCUGACGCAGCAACGCCGCGUGAGGGAUGAAGGCCUUCGGGUUGUAAACCUCUUUUAGCAGGAACGAAACAAAUGACGGUACCUGCAGAAAAAGCACCGGCUAACUCCGUGCCAGCAGCCGCGGUAAUACGGAGGGUGCGAGCGUUAUUCGGAAUUACUGGGCGUAAAGCGCGCGUAGGCGGCUCGAUAAGUCUGGUGUGAAAUCCCUGGACUCAAUCCAGGAAGUGCAUUGGAUACUGUCGAGCUGGAGUACAGGAGAGGAGAGCGGAAUUCCUGGUGUAGAGGUGAAAUUCGUAGAUAUCAGGAGGAACAACAGAGGCGAAGGCGGCUCUCUGGACUGUCACUGACGCUAAGGCGCGAAAGCGUGGGGAGCAAACAGG